GUAUCAAAGCUCCGGCGGUACAGGAUGGACCCGCGUCUGAUUAGCUAGUUGGUGAGGUAACGGCUCACCAAGGCGACGAUCAGUAGCCGACCUGAGAGGGUGAUCGGCCACAUUGGAACUGAGACACGGUCCAAACUCCUACGGGAGGCAGCAGUGGGGAAUAUUGCACAGUGGGCGAAAGCCUGAUGCAGCAACGCCGCGUGAGCUAAGAGGGCCUUCGGGUCGUAAAGCUCUGUCCUCAAGGAAGAUAAUGAC
rnacentral:rRNA from 1 species